AACUCAAUAACAAAAUGGAAAAGUAGAUUAAUAAAUCAGUUGAGAAACAUACUCAAGCCAAGGAGAAGCAUAAGAAAUUUGUAUACACCGAAAGUCUCUUUGCAGUGAAAGCCAAGUAGUGGAGGAGAUGACUGAAAGCCAAGUAAUCCCUGCCUUUGUUAUCAACAAAUAUAAGCCAAGGAGCAUCCUCAUUCCCAUUUCUCCAGUAAGUAGGCAAUAGUGCAACCUAUCGGGUUGAAGAAACAAAUAACAAGGGCGACCAGUAAAGUUGCUUUCCAUGAGCAAUUUAUGUUACGUAUUCUGAAUGA
rnacentral:lncRNA from 1 species